rnacentral:rRNA from 1 species
CAAGUCGAACGAACCUUCGGGUUAGUGGCGGACGGGUGAGUAACGCGUGGGAAUCUGCCCUCAGGAGGGGGAUAACGGUUGGAAACGACCGCUAAUACCCCAUAUGCCGAUAGGUGAAAUGAAUUUCGCCUGAGGAUGAGCCCGCGUCUGAUUAGCUAGUUGGUAAGGUAAAGGCUUACCAAGGCUUCGAUCAGUAGCUGGUCUGAGAGGAUGAUCAGCCACACUGGGACUGAGACACGGCCCAGACUCCUACGGGAGGCAGCAGUGGGGAAUUUUCCGCAAUGGGCGAAAGCCUGACGGAGCAACGCCGCGUGAGGGACGAAGGCCUCUGGGCUGUAAACCUCUUUUCUCAAGGAAGAAGAUAUGACGGUACUUGAGGAAUAAGCCACGGCUAAUUCCGUGCCAGCAGCCGCGGUAAUACGGGAGUGGCAAGCGUUAUCCGGAAUUAUUGGGCG